UACGGAGGGAGCUAGCGUUGUUCGGAAAUACUGGGCGUAAAGCGCACGUAGGCGGCGCAGCAAGUCAGGGGGUGAAAUCCCGGGGGCUCAACCCCGGAACUGCCUCUGAAACUGCAGUGCUAGAAUCUUGGAGAGGCGAGUGGAAUUCCGAGUGUAGAGGUGAAAUUCGUAGAUAUUCGGAAGAACACCAGUGGCGAAGGCGACUCGCUGGACAAGUAUUGACGCUGAGGUGCGAAAGCGUGGGGAGCAAACAGG
rnacentral:rRNA from 1 species